rnacentral:misc_RNA from 1 species
UCUUGGAGGCUAUCCUCGAGCUCUUGCAUCCUGUUGUUUAUGGUGGUAUUCAUACGUUGAAGGUAUGCAAGGACGGGGUCUGCCGGUGGUGGUGUGUAGGGAGGUACUCGAGCGGGGGACUCGUGGUGGAGUGGCUCUUGGGCUUCCUUCUAUGCCUGUGAUGGCUCACUAGGGUCUUCUUGUGCUUCUUCCCGCCUGGGGAUGACGUUCCCUUUGGCAUCGAUCAGGAAGCAGGUGUUCCCAACUUUCUUACAUAUCCCCAUGGAUAUGUAGAUAGUUUGAUCUAUUCUUCACGUUUCAGUGAUAGAGCGUAGCUUGUGAUGUCCUGGAACGAACCCAAAG